rnacentral:tRNA from 1 species
GAGAGGAAUGGCUGRAAGUGGUUGAUAGCCCCGGUCU